CUCCUUCCUACUCUUAGGCCUAACAAAUCAAAAGAAAGAUGUAUCAUUAUAUAACUGACAUUAAAAGCAGUUGAGAUGCCAUACAUAUUCAUCUUUUUCUCCUCUCUCAAGUUCUGAUUGGGAUUAUCAAAAGAGAAGGAACGUCAGUUUCCAGAUUAAAGUUGCUCCGAUAUGGCGGCGGCCGACCUCAAGAACUCCGGGCGACUCAAUGGCUCUUGGGCGGCCAUUUUGAUUUGAGACCACGAAGAUGGAAAAGGAAAGUGACAGAGGGCAAUUGCACGUGCACACAUUUAUGUUCCAAUCUCUCAAUAUUUCCUUUUUUUGUGGCUGAGAAAAAUAUAACAAAAGAAAUUAAUUAUAUUUUUAUUGUUAUUAUUAUUAUUUUUAAAAAAAGAAUUUAAUUCUAUUCA